GACGAACGCUGGCGGCGCGCCUAACACAUGCAAGUCGAACGAGAGAGAGGGAGCUUGCUUCCUCAAUCGAGUGGCGAACGGGUGAGUAACGCGUGAGGAACCUGCCUCAAAGAGGGGGACAACAGUUGGAAACGACUGCUAAUACCGCAUAAGCCCACGGGUCGGCAUCGACCAGAGGGAAAAGGAGCAAUCCGCUUUGAGAUGGCCUUGCGUCCGAUUAGCUAGUUGGUGAGGUAAUGGCCCACCAAGGCGACGAUCGGUAGCCGGACUGAGAGGUUGAACGGCCACAUUGGGACUGAGACACGGCCCAGACUCCUACGGGAGGCAGCAGUGGGGAAUAUUGCACAAUGGGGGAAACCCUGAUGCAGCGACGCCGCGUGGAGGAAGAAGGUCUUCGGAUUGUAAACUCCUGUUGUUGAGGAAGAUAAUGACGGUACUCAACAAGGAAGUGACGGCUAA
rnacentral:rRNA from 1 species